UACGUAGGUGGCAAGCGUUGUCCGGAUUUACUGGGCGUAAAGAGCGCGCAGGCGGUCGUUCAAGUCGCGUGUGAAAGCCCCGGCUCAACUGGGGAGGGUCACGCGAUACUGAUCGACUCGAAGGCAGGAGAGGGAAGUGGAAUUCCCGGUGUAGUGGUGAAAUGCGUAGAUAUCGGGAGGAACACCAGUGGCGAAGGCGACUUCCUGGCCUGUUCUUGACGCUGAGGCGCGAAAGCUAGGGGAGCAAACGGG
rnacentral:rRNA from 1 species